rnacentral:rRNA from 1 species
GACGAACGCUGGCGGCGUGCUUAACACAUGCAAGUCGAACGGUGAAGCGCCUUCCUUUUUGGUGGGUGUGGAUGAGUGGCGAACGGGUGAGUAACACGUGAGUAACCUGCCCCCUUCUUCUGGAUAACCGCAUGAAAGUGUGGCUAAUACGGGAUAUUCUGGGUCUGUCGCAUGAUGGGUCUGGGAAAGAUAUUGUUUCGGUGGGGGAUGGGCUCGCGGCCUAUCAGCUUGUUGGUGGGGUGAUGGCCUACCAAGGCGGUGACGGGUAGCCGGCCUGAGAGGGUGGACGGUCCCACUGGGACUGAGAAACGGCCCAGACUCCGACGGGAGGCAGCAGUGGGGAAUAUUGCACAAUGGGCGCAAGCCUGAUGCAGCGACGCCGCGUGAGGGAUGGAGGCCUUCGGGUUGUGAACCUCUUUCGCCAGUGAAGCAGGCCUGCCUCGUUUGUGGGUGGGUUGACGGUAGCUGGAUAAGAAGCGCCGGCUAACUACGUG